rnacentral:rRNA from 1 species
GAAAUGCGAUAAGUAAUGUGAAUUGCAGAAUUCAGUGAAUCAUCGAAUCUUUGAACGCACCUUGCGCUCCUUGGUAUUCCGAGGAGCAUGCCUGUUUGAGUGUCAUUAAAUUCUCAACCCUUCAAGCUUUUGUGAGCUAUGAUAGGGCUUGGACAUUGGGAGCUUGCUGGCCUUAUAAGGGUCAGCUCUCCUGAAAUACAUUAGCGGAACCGUUUGCAGUCCCGUCACUAGUGUGAUAAUUAUCUACACUGUGAUGAUUGCUCUCUAGUUUGUUCAGCUGCUAAUCGUCCAUUAUCGGACAUCAGUUAAUGAACCUCUUGACCUCAAAUCAGGUAGGAUUACCCGCUGAACUUAA